AGAUGUUAAAAGCAAGAGACAUGGGAGAGCAUCAUUCCUUUGAGAUUUUAUAACUCAAACCAACUUUGGAGUUGUCUGAUUUGGAGAGUCAUCAUUCUUGGUCUUCGCUCUUAGAGGCCACUGAUGAACAGGCGGUGACUGGGAUGAAUGCUGGUCAGAGAGGAGAAUCUUCUUUCCCCUAAACUGAUGCAGCGGUGGUUUUAAAGGAGGACGCUGGCCUGGAUGAUGUAGAAGAUGUCACAUGCUGUGCUGAUGGGGUUUCUUCAUGAUUACAUCAGUUAUGCUAAAGAGAUCAUGAAAAUUGACCGUGAUGCAUGAUCUGUAUUCAUGGACUAUGAAACAAACUGUAAGUGUAUAAUUUGUUAAAAAAAAAAAGUUAAAUGCUUUUUCUGUGUUGUUUAGUAGAAGAGUUUACACUCUGUCAUUCAUACACCUGCUCACAUUCUUUCACACACACACACACACACACACACAAAUGCGUCUGUUAAAUGUUAUAAUAUCAAAGUUAAUGUUGUGAUUUAUUUGUGUACUGUCAUGCCAGAAUAGUUGGAAAAAAACCUAACUAAUUGUAAAUUUAUUGUAUAAGUGUUUUCGUAUAUUUUUAUACAAUAUAUACAAUUGAACAAAGUCCAAUUUGAUCUUAAGUUAUAUUCAUCAAAUGUUCAAUGCUUUGUUUAUGAAUUCUGUAGCUGUUAAUGCCAUCCUUUUCUGCAUUUCUUCUAACAUGUUACUUUUUGACUUUUCUCUUGUUUUUAAUAAAUAUUUUCCUUUUGAUAAUUAU